rnacentral:rRNA from 1 species
UGCCAGCAGCCGCGGUAAUACGGAGGGAGCUAGCGUUGUUCGGAAUUACUGGGCGUAAAGCGUGCGUAGGCGGAUCGACAAGUUGGGGGUGAAAUCCCGGGGCUUAACCCCGGAACUGCCCUCAAAACUGUCGAUCUAGAGACCGGGAGAGGUAAGCGGAAUUCCCAGGUGUAGUGGUGAAAUACGUAGAUAUCUGGAAGAACACCAGUGGCGAAGGCGAUCUCUUGGUCCAUAACUGACGCUGAGGCGCGAAAGCGUGGGGAGCAAACAGGAUUAGAUA